rnacentral:rRNA from 1 species
UACGUAGGGGGCUAGCGUUGUCCGGAUUUAUUGGGCGUAAAGAGCGUGUAGGCGGCCAUGUAGGUCCGGUGUGAAAACUCGAGGCUUAACCUCGAGAUGUCAUUGGAAACCAUUUGGCUAGAGUCCGGAAGAGGAGAGUGGAAUUCCUGGUGUAGCGGUGAAAUGCGCAGAUAUCAGGAAGAACACCAAUGGCGAAAGCAGCUCUCUGGGACGGUACUGACGCUGAGACGCGAAAGCGUGGGGGAGCGAACAGG